CCCCCGCAUCUGACCGCCCUGCUUAACACAAAAAUGUUGUUGCAUGCAUGCAAUAAAUCCCCUGAGCAUGCAUGCACUUUUGCCAUUUGCAGUUGCACCUGCACAAUUUCAAGGCAGCGUUACUUAAUUGUGCACAAAAAUAUUUAGUGAUAGAAAUCGUAUAUGUAGAAUAUUUUCACUAAAAGUUCAGAAAAAUAGCAUUUGCCCAUGCAUGCAACAUUUUGAUGGUG